UACGUAGGGUCCGAGCGUUGUCCGGAAUUACUGGGCGUAAAGAGCUCGUAGGUGGUUUGUCGCGUCGGGAGUGAAAUCCACUGGCUUAACUGGUGGCUUGCUUUCGAUACGGGCAGACUGGAGGUAUGCAGGGGAGAACGGAAUUCCCGGUGUAGUGGUGAAAUGCGUAGAGAUCGGGAGGAACACCCGUGGCGAAGGCGGCCACCUGGGCCGACCCUGACGCUGAGGCGCGAAGGCGUGGGGAGCGAACGGG
rnacentral:rRNA from 1 species